rnacentral:rRNA from 1 species
UGGGGAAUAUUGCACAAUGGGGGAAACCCUGAUGCAGCGACGCCGCGUGAACGAAGAAGGUAUUCGUAUCGUAAAGUUCUGUCCUAUGGGAAGAUAAUGACAGUACCAUAGAAGAAAGCUCCGGCUAAAUACGUGCCAGCAGCCGCGGUAAUACGUAUGGAGCGAGCGUUGUCCGGAAUUAUUGGGCGUAAAGGGUAAGCAGGCGGUUUAAUAAGUCGAAUGUUAAAGAUCGGGGCUCAACCCCGCAAAGCAUUGGAAACUGAUAAACUUGAGUAGUGGAGAGGAAAGUGGAAUUCCUAGUGUAGUGGUGAGAUACGUAGAUAUUAGGAGGGAUACAAGUAGCGAAGGCGACUUUCUGGACACAAACUGACGCUGAGGUACGAAAGCGUGGGGAGCAAAUAGG